rnacentral:rRNA from 1 species
UAAGCAUAUCAAUAAGCGGAGGAAAAGAAACCAACAGGGAUUGCCCUAGUAACGGCGAGUGAAGCGGCAACAGCUCAAAUUUGAAAUCUGGCGCAAGCCCGAGUUGUAAUUUGCAGAGGAUGCUUCUAGGUAGCGACCGGUCUAAGUUCCUUGGAACAGGACGUCAUAGAGGGUGAGAAUCCCGUAUGUGACCGGCCCGCACCUUCUACGUAGCUCCUUCGACGAGUCGAGUUGUUUGGGAAUGCAGCUCUAAAUGGGAGGUAAAUUUCUUCUAAAGCUAAAUACCGGCCAGAGACCGAUAGCGCACAAGUAGAGUGAUCGAAAGAUGAAAAGCACUUUGGAAAGAGAGUUAAAAAGCACGUGAAAUUGUUGAAAGGGAAGCGCUCACAACCAGACUUCUGGGCGGUGUUCCGCCGGUCUUCUGACCGGUCUACUCGCCGUCCCGAGGCCAACAUCAUCUGGGACCGCCGGAUAAGACCUCAGGAAUGUAGCUUCCCUCGGGGAGUGUUAUAGCCUGUGGUGAUGCGGCGCGUCUCGGGUGAGGUCCGCGCUUCGGCAAGGAUGUUGGCGUAAUGGUUGUCAGCGGCCCGUCUUGAAACACGGACCAAGGAGUCUAACAUCUAUGCGAGUGUUCGGGUGUCAAACCCCUACGCGUAAUGAAAGUGAACGGAGGUGGGAAGCGCAAGCUGCACCAUCGACCGAUCCUGAUGUCCUCGGAUGGAUUUGAGUAAGAGCAUAGCUGUUGGGACCCGAAAGAUGGUGAACUAUGCCUGAAUAGGGUGAAGCCAGAGGAAACUCUGGUGGAGGCUCGCAGCGGUUCUGACGUGCAAAUCGAUCGUCAAAUUUGGGUAUAGGGGCGAAAGACUAAUCGAACCAU